rnacentral:misc_RNA from 1 species
GAUGAAGGAACGUAGCGAAAUGCGAUAAGUAAUGUGAAUUGCAGAAUUCAGUGAAUCAUCGAAUCUUUGAACGCACAUUGCGCCCUCUGGUAUUCCGGGGGGCAUGCCUGUUCGAGCGUCAUUACAACCCUCAAGCUUUGCUUGGUAUUGGACAUUGCCAGUUUCUGGCAGGUCUUAAAAUCAGUGGCGGUGCCAUUUGGCUUCAAGCGUAGUAAUUCUUCUCGCUUUGGAGAUCCAGGUGGUUACUUGCCAAUAACCCCCAAUUUUUUCAGGUUGACCUCGGAUCAGGUAGGGAUACCCGCUGAACUUAAGCAUAUCAAUAAGCGGAGGA